ACAGUUUCGAAAAUUUCGUCAUGAAAAAUAGGACCAAAACACGUUUUCAAUGCCUCGUUUGUUUUGAGCAUUAUUUUAAUGAACUCUAACUGUACCGACACAUAUCGACGCAAAAGAGACCUAAUUCAAAAUAUUCUUUUUAUUCUGUCAAGUUUGACAGAUUAACAAAAGAAAAAUUUGAAUUUGGUCUCUUUCGCGUCGAUAUGUGUAUCUAGAGUAACGUAUCAAAUGUCAAACCUAGAAGAAAAAACUGACAAACCGAUCCACCCUAGUCAAACUGGACAAAGUAUUGUUUGACAUUGAUCAAGUAGAAUUAAAAGAUUCGGCUUACAAAAUAAUUUCAUUGAAUUUAAUACGCAAAAAAAAUAAAUAAACGGUUAAGCUGUACCAUAGACGAGAGAGUUAAAAUUGAUAUUAUCGGUGCCAUUGUCAAAAAAAAAUUAUUUACAAUUUCGAUGAGAGAGUCAUAGUCAGAAUCAGUUGUUUAACAUUAUUCAACAAAGCAAACAUAGCCAGGUGACACUCAGCACCUGUAAAACCAAUAGCUUCUAUCACUCUCACUCUAAGUUUUUACAUUAAGGAGAAGAUUGGACGUGUCUUUAAAUUGUACAUAAUGGGCGCGCGGUGCAUAUUUUAGAAAUGUAACCGCACUACAUGCAGGACCGUACUGGUUCAUAACAGCCGUAGUCGGAAAUUACAUAGAAGUCAUUUUUAAAAGGCUUAAAAAUUGAAAAGUUACGAAUUUUACAGUAUGACCGGUCUGGGCCUGACUACAGGCGACUGUUUAUAAGGAUUUUUUCACAGCAGCGUAGAUUCCGGUUAGAAGUGAGGUUAGAAGCUAUCCUCAUUUUAAAAAAAAUAUAUUUUUUCUUAGAACGCUUGAGAUUGCAGAGUACCGAGCCUAAUUGACAAUCGAUAUCUGUUCAAAUAAAACAAAACAAUAAUGUCGAGGUCGCAACUAAUUAUGUCAAGGUCAUCUAAUUUAUGAAAGGCAUCUACAUGUACAGCGAAAAUAUGGGGUUCGUAAACUAACCUGAACCUGAAAUGAGAAAACCUGAUUCAAUUCAGGUGAGGUUCAACCAAAAUGACCCAGAACCCAGAACGUCUUUCGAUUCAGAUCAAAUUCAGCUUAAGGUUGCUCUAAAAAUUUUAGGUCAGAAUUAACCUGAACAUGAAAAAGUGAAGAACUAAAUCCGGUUGAACUGAAUCUGAUCGGAUGAGCAUUAAUCAAGCAUAUUCGUGAUGACCUUAAAAUGUGUACACGAACGAGAACGUACUAGCAUACAUAACCUCAACUGUUAUUCGUGAUUUUUUACACUGAAACAAUUGACUCAUACUCAUCUCGAAUCAUGUAAAUAUUAUUGAGAUUACAGUUUGCGUAGAAUGAAAGAUUUGUGAAUUGUUUCGAGAAAAAAGAGAUAAAUAAACAAAUGUAUAAUUGGAAACCAAUCAAAGAGACUGCACUUUCUCAUUUUAUACAAACUCAUUAAAAUUAUACUUAAACAUCAAGUCAGCAAA